rnacentral:rRNA from 1 species
UACGGGGGGGGGCAAGCGUUGUUCGGAAUUACUGGGCGUAAAGGGCUCGUAGGCGGCCAACUAAGUCAGACGUGAAAUCCCUCGGCUUAACCGGGGAACUGCGUCUGAUACUGGAUGGCUAGAGGUUGGGAGAGGGAUGCGGAAUUCCAGGUGUAGCGGUGAAAUGCGUAGAUAUCUGGAGGAACACCGGUGGCGAAGGCGGCAUCCUGGACCAACACUGACGCUGAGGAGCGAAAGCCAGGGGAGCAAACGGG